GCUUGCUUCUACAGCCAUAUACUAAAAAAUUGAAAUGAUACAGGGAACAUUAGCAUGGCCUCUGUGCAUGGAAGACAUACAAAUACGUGAAGUGUUCCAUAUUUUA